UGGAGAUUUAUUUACUUAGAUGAAGGUACUGGUCCUUUUACCAGGAGUCUCCUAAUAAAACAAAAAUAGCUCUGAGGGAAAGUCAUUAUUGACCCAUAUGCCUUGUCUUGAAAGACUGGUUUUCCACAGAACAGCAGACUUAGAGUCAGGUUCUCAGGGAAGAGGGUCCUCCCUGCGGGAGAGUCAGUGCAGAAGGCGGGAGGCAGGGUCACCGGGGAUUUUAAGCACUGAUAUUCCCCAAGGAGACAGUCAUCUCCCAAGGAGCUCCAGGCACCCAGCACCAGUCAGCGCCAGCGCUGAGAGCGAAGACCCGGAAGUGGGACGUGAGACGAGGCCAGCUAAAGCCCAACUCGGGCAACAGGACAAUUUCCUCUCUGACGAGCUUGUUCCUAAAUAUUAUACUUCCAGCCAAAGUACAGGUCUUCUUUAGAUGACUUGGGGGCCAUGACAGGUUUCAUCCUCUCCAGUGGUCAGACACGUUUCACGGUGGAGUUGAGGUAAUUCUGUCAGUCAAAGGAGGUGUUUGCAGACCAGGAGAACUCCAGCAUAACACAGCCCACUGGCACAAGCAGCUGAAUACUCCUCAGGAGGCCAAGCUCACGAUGUGUCUUAAAGAGGUUCCCAGAGGCCUCCUUACCCGCCGCGUCGUACAGCCUAAGAGGCACGCUGGAUAGUUUUCAGCCAACCCCGCACUGACAGAGCCAGAGAACAAUCCUUCCUUCGGGUCCUAUAGCAGUGUUGAUGGCCACUGAGGGCCGAGAUACGAUUGCCAGAGAU